rnacentral:rRNA from 1 species
CAGAGGUCCCGAGCGUUGUUCGGAUUCACUGGGCGUAAAGGGUGCGUAGGCGGUCGGGUAAGUCUGAUGUGAAAUCUCACAGCUUAACUGUGAAACUGCAUUGGAUACUAUUCGGCUUGAGGUCUGGAGGGGGGACUGGAAUUCUCGGUGUAGCAGUGAAAUGCGUAGAUAUCGAGAGGAACACCUGUGGCGAAAGCGGCUCACUGGACCACAACUGACGCUGAGGCGCGAAAGCUAGGGGAGCAAACAGG